UACAGAGGGGGCAAGCGUUGUUCGGAAUUACUGGGCGUAAAGGGCGCGUAGGCGGCCUGCUAAGUCGAACGUGAAAUCCCUGGGCUCAACCCAGGAACUGCGUCCGAUACUGGUUGGCUUGAAUCCGGGAGAGGGAUGUGGAAUUCCAGGUGUAGCGGUGAAAUGCGUAGAUAUCUGGAGGAACACCUGUGGCGAAGGCGACCCCCUGGUUGGAUACUGACGCUGAGACGCGAAAGCGUGGGGAGCAAACAGG
rnacentral:rRNA from 1 species